CGCACCUUGCGCUCCUUGGUAUUCCGAGGAGCAUGCCUGUUUGAGUGUCAUGGUAUUCUCAAUCCACUCUGAAUUUUUGAAAAGAAAUUUGUUUGGCAUUGGACUUGGAGGCUUUCUGUCGGUUAUACUUUGUCAAUCGACUCCUCUAAAAUACAUUAGCAGGAAUGAAGUGCCAUCUUCAGUGUGAUAAUUAUCUGCGCUGUGGACUGGUUCUUGAAAUUCUUACUUCUAAUGGUCUAUUUUCUUAGACAUUGAUAUGACAUCUGACCUCAAAUCAGGUAGGAUUACCCGCUGAACUUAA
rnacentral:misc_RNA from 1 species